UACGUAGGGUGCAAGCGUUGUCCGGAAUUAUUGGGCGUAAAGAGCGUGUAGGCGGCCCGAUUAGUCCGCUGUGAAAGUCCAGGGCUCAACCCCUGGAAUGCCGGUGGAUACUGUGGGGCUAGAGUCCGGAAGGGGCGAGUGGAAUUCCUGGUGUAGCGGUGAAAUGCGCAGAUAUCAGGAGGAACACCAAUGGCGAAGGCAGCUCGCUGGGACGUGACUGACGCUGAGACGCGAAAGCGUGGGGAGCAAACAGG
rnacentral:rRNA from 1 species